rnacentral:lncRNA from 1 species
CUUUUACGUCGGCCUUCGCGAGCGUCUGGGCGGGUGGUAGGUGAGUGGGUAUUGCGGGCUAGUAUCCGAGCAAAAGAUGGUGGCGCAGGCCGAGUUAAGAGCUUUAAUCCUGUGAAGACAUCUUAGUGAAGAGUUUAGAGUGCUGAGAGUUGAAAGCUUGCACGUGGGAAACGUGCGGCCGGACUGCCACAUGUACUGAGGUUGAGUCGUGACGGCCACAGGCUCCGAGUUUUGGCGUGAGGAACCGCUGAUCGGCCACGGGCGCCGAACUUGCUGGCCUCCGGCAUGUGCCUGAGCGGCGGCGGAAAAACCACCUUAAUUGGGGCGGAGGGUUAGUUUUAACAGCAAAGGGCCUUUACUAAAAUGGCGAAGGCCUUCCGUCGGCGUUGUUUUAAAAUGGGAAGCCUCGACCCUGUAUUGAAACUGAGCUGUUCGAAGGCGGCGUUGUGUGCAAUUCGGAUUAAUGAAGGGGAAGGGUUUUGUGUGGAAAAACGCCUUGGAGUGUGACAUUUCUGCGAGAAUGCUUAAAUACCGAUUUCCCGCAGGAACAAUGGCGCUGUCUUCAGUGGCACAGUGGAGCAGCUCUGAAGAUGCAAAGAUACACGAAAAAACUUCCAGAACAUCUGGGAGAAUAUUUAAUGGAAAAUCGCUUGGUUAAAACCUGACACUUUUAACAGUGAACAGCGUUCUGAGUGUGGACGAGUAGCCAGUGAAGAUAAUGAAUGUCGAAUGUGACUGACUAGCAGCUUCAUUUUGAAUGAGGGUCGCUGUCUGCCCAUUGAUAGAGGCCAGAUUGUCUUGGAAGUUCCAAAGUUGCAACGAUUUCUGGCUAGUGCCACGAGGUUUACUUGACUGUUGUGUGAAAAGCUGAUAAGAAAACCAUCCAGAAAAAAGCUCUUCGUUUUACAAACAUGAAAAUAAAACAUUUAGUUGAAUCCAUGGACAUGAAACCCACAGAUAUAGAGGGUUGGCCCGGUGCAGUGGCUCACGCCUGUAAUCCCAGCACUUUGGGAGGCCAAGGCGGGUGGAUCACCUGAGGUCAGAAGCUUGAGACCAGCCUGGCCAACAUGGGUACUGCUUUCUCUUGCUGCAGCUUGCUUCCUCCCUCAGGUAUGAAGUUAAGGUUAGUAUCUUCCUUGCUCCGUACUGCCACUUUUUUUUU